GGUCUGGUGGUGUAGUUGGUUAUCACGUCAGUCUAACAGGUUCGAGGCAACCCGGACUGAGCACACUGAAGGUCUCCGGUUCAAGUCCGGGCUAGAUCA
rfam:Colletotrichum salicis strain CBS 607.94 Scaffold_1951.1, whole genome shotgun sequence.